UACGGAGGAUGCAAGCGUUAUCCGGAUUUAUUGGGUUUAAAGGGAGCGUAGGCGGAUGAUCAAGUCUGUGGUGAAAAGUUCGGGCCUAACCCGGAUCGUGCCAUGGAAACUGGUUGUCUUGAAUAGUGGUGCCGUUGGCGGAAUGUGAAGUGUAGCGGUGAAAUGCUUAGAUAUUACACAGAACACCGAUUGCGAAAGCAGCUGACGAACCACCGAUUGACGCUGAUGCACGAAAGUGCGGGUAUCGAAC
rnacentral:rRNA from 1 species